ACAAACUGUAUAUGAUAAUUCAUGAUGCAUUUGUGUGUUCUUAGUUGUUAGAAGGCCAAAUGCAUUUUUUCUUAAACAAAUUGAGGAAGUUUUAAUUUCAUGUUUAUUAAUGAUGUGAAACAGACUAAACAGAAACCGAAAGUAGAAAAGUUAAAUCGACCAUCGUCAUUGAAUUUCAUAUAAAUUUAACAGGAAGACAAUUGCCG
rnacentral:lncRNA from 1 species